rnacentral:lncRNA from 1 species
GGAUUGAAACCCAACACCUAUUUGGAUUUCUCCUUCUUGGCCGCAAACUCAAGUCUAAUGAAGACUAAAGAAACGUUCUUGAUGAAAGAAGUCUCGAGUGAGAAAUAAUCCUCACCAAGAAAGGAGUCACGCGCAAGUGGGAUUCUUUUCUCCCCUUCCUCUUGGCUACCCAUAUGAACAAUGAGGUUCACAUGUGUGAAUGGCUUGGGUCUCACUCUUCCAAGGCAGAUUGGGCCUUUUUUUAAUCUUUAUGGGCCUCAAAC